ACGAACUCUGCCUUCCCUCUUUCAAAAAUGGGAGCCAAGCUGCCGCAUUUGCUACGGAGCUGCACAAACCAUUGCCCUUGUCUACUCACCGCAGCACAUUCGUGAGCAUCUGGUGCAGCAACUAGGGAGGGGACUUCCACCCAGAUUCUGCUACCUUUACUCACCGUGAGUAGCCUGUUACUCCAUCUUGCACGGCUUUGCACAUACGCACCUACCUGCCGAGGAGAGCUUCAUGUGCGGGAAAUCAGGAGGGAGAGCUGUGCGUUCAGUGUCACGGUUUGCUCACAGGGAGCUCCUCAAGCAAAGCAGGCUGUCAGGGUCGGCGUGUUUUCCAGACCAUGACAAGCUACAGCAAUAUGAGAGAAGGAAAGGGUUUAUUUGCUGCUGGGAAUAGAGGAGCUGAUCCUUGAAGUGGCCUCAAAUAUGGUUCUCACCCUCACAGCCUGCAGAAAAGCAACUUGGCGCUUUAUCUUGUCCCUAAUCUAUCCAUCUCCCCCACCCAUGCUAGCUCUGGC